AACGCACAUUGCACUCUAUUUCGGUAGAGUAUGCCUGUUUGAGAAUCUAAAGUAUUUAUUUGUUUUUUUUGAACUCUCGAAAAGAACAAGAUAUGAGCCUUCCAGCGUUGCUGGUGGUUUGAAAUUUAUUGCCGGGCAAGCUUUAGAAAUGCUUGACCUAGCGCAAAGCCGACCAAUGGUAUUUGAAUAGAGCUUGCUCUUCUCGCGUACCGAGUACUUGGCAGCGCUGGGGAGUUUCUUGGGCAACACCCGCCCAACAACAAGACUUUUGAGUCUGAACCAUAUGGUCUCAAAUCAGGUAGGAUUACCCGCUGAACUUAA
rnacentral:misc_RNA from 1 species